rnacentral:lncRNA from 1 species
GCAGAGCCAGGUCAAGCCCUGAGGAGAGUCUAGAAAAGCUUCCUAGUGUGUCUUCUCUCAUCUGUUGUGGCUUGAGUUGUGUCUGCUAAGAGAGGUGUGUUGAAGUCCCGGCCCCCAGGACCUCAGGAUGUGGCCUUAUUUGGAAAUGUGGUUAUUGUAGAUAUAACCAGUUGAAAUGAGGCUAUACUAGAGUAAGUUGGCCUUAAGCCAAUAUGACUAGCAUCCUGGUAAGAGAGAAGAUCAGAGUGUUAAGCCCCACAGGUGGUGGCAAGAUAGCCAUGUGGGGAGAAAGAGAUUGCCAAGAAUUUCUGGCAGCCACCAGAAGUUGGAAGAGGCAUGGAAGGAUCCUUCUCUAGAACCUUCAGAAGGAGCCUGACCCUGUCCACACCCAUAUUUCAGACUCCUAGCUUCCAGAACUGUGAGAGAACAAAUUACUUCUGUUCCUUUUUCUUUUUUCUCUUUGGCACUGGGGAUUGAACAGUGAUGUUCUGCCACUGAGCUAUGUCCUCAUUUUGUUUUCUUUUUUUAAAUUGGAGAUGGGGGGGGGGUCUCACUAAAUUGCUGAGGGUCCUGCUAAACUGUCAAGGCUGGCCUUGAGCUUGGCGAUCCUCCAGCCUCAGCCUCCCGAAUCCCUGGAUUACAGGUGUGCAACCCUGCACCCAGCUCGGCUUCUGUAGUUUGGAUCCACCCUCUUGGUGGCACCUUGUCACCACCUCUAAAGCAUCACCUCGCAGCUCCUCUCUACCUACCACAUGCAGUUGGACAGACACUGGAAAUCUUUUGGCGUCUGGGGGUGUAGCUCAUGGGAGGAGUGAUUGCCUGGUAAACCUGAAGCCCAGGGUUCUAUCCCCAGUACUGAAAAAAGCAAGAACAGAAAACUCUGCAGGUGGUCUGAGAGUGUAAGCUGCUGUCUUUCUUUGUCGGAUCUUUUUAUUUGUUUGUUUGUUUGUUUGUUGAGUGUUGGUUGGGGAACUAAAGCCUAUCGAAGUGACUGGAGUCUACAGGAUGAUUUGAAAGAGAAUAGUUCGGGAAAACUGAUGAUCGUGUCUGCUAACGCAGCUGGCUAGAGAAGGGAGACUCUUUAGACCACAUGGCAAAUCAUUAGAUGCACCCAAACCUGGCAGAAGUGGUGAAGAAGGCAACAUUGGCUAUUCACAGGACGUGUUACCCGCAAAAUAAGCAAGGUUGUGUACCCCACGUGCUGUCUGGGGUCUCCUGGGUCCUUGAGAGCUGGGAAUAGUUGGCAUGACCCUCAUUCAGCUCUUCAAGGAAGCCCUCAGUGUUCCCAGGCUUUCUGUGUUUCUGGAGGCUGGGGAUGGAGUUAACCAGUUCUCCUGGCCACGUCUGACCCCAGGCUCCUCUUCUGCUGUCACCAGCCUCUCAUCCUGGUUCACAGUGGCGUGAAACCAGCCACUUUCCUAGGGAAGGGAGACGUGCAGCCAGGGAAAGCACAAGUCCACUCAGCAAUUUAGUGGGGCCCUAAGCAGUUCAGUGAGACCCUGUCUCUAAAUAAAAUAUUAAAAAAGGGCUGGGGACAUG